rnacentral:tRNA from 1 species
GCCGCUUUAGCUCAGUUGGUAGAGCAACCGCUUCGUAAGCGGUAGGUCAUCUGUUCGAGUCAGAUAAGCGGCACCA